rnacentral:rRNA from 1 species
AACGAACGCUGGCGGCAUGCCUAACACAUGCAAGUCGAACGAGAUCUUCGGGUCUAGUGGCGCACGGGUGCGUAACCCGUGGGAAUCUGCCCUUUGGUUCGGAAUAACAGUUGGAAACGACUGCUAAUACCGGAUGAUGACGAAAGUCCAAAGAUUUAUCGCCAGAGGAUGAGCCCGCGUAGGAUUAGCUAGUUGGUGUGGUAAAGGCGCACCAAGGCGACGAUCCUUAGCUGGUCUGAGAGGAUGAUCAGCCACACUGGGACUGAGACACGGCCCAGACUCCUACGGGAGGCAGCAGUGGGAAAUAUUGGACAAUGGGCGAAAGCCUGAUCCAGCAAUGCCGCGUGAGUGAUGAAGGCCUUAGGGUUGUAAAGCUCUUUUACCCGGGAUGAUAAUGACAGUACCGGGAGAAUAAGCUCCGGCUAACUCCGUGCCAGCCGCCGCGGUAA